rnacentral:snRNA from 1 species
GUGCUCACUUUGACAGCACGGAUAGUAAAAUUGGAACAAUACAGCAUGGUCUCUGUGCAAAAGAGUUAUGCAAAUUCAUGGAGCAUCUAUUUUUUUUU